CGUGCACUAGUGGGGUCCCUUGGCCUGGCCUGCGGGAUCGGUCAAAACUGACUUUCCGACAUCCCCUGAAGGGUCCCGGAUUGCGAGAAGGCGCAGGCCAGGCCAAGGGACCCCACUAGUGCAUG
rfam:Myotis brandtii contig263030, whole genome shotgun sequence.